rnacentral:rRNA from 1 species
GAGUCAUCCCUAGAGCUUCGAGCUCUCUAAAGGGUUGUUCUAGACUAGAACGUUGAUAGGCAGGGUGUGUAAGCGCUGUGAGGCGUUGAGCUAACCUGUACUAAUUGCCCGUGAGGCUUAACCAUACAACACCCAAG